rnacentral:rRNA from 1 species
CACAAGCGGUGGAGCAUGUGGUUAAUUCGAAGCAACGCGAAGAACCUUACCAGGUCUUGACAUCCCUGACAACCAAGAGAUUGGCGUUCCCCUCGGGGGACAGGGUGACAGGCGGUGCAUGGUUGUCGUCAGCUCGUGUCGUGAGAUGUUGGGUUAAGUCCCGCAACGAGCGCAACCCUCGCCUCUAGUUGCCAGCAUUCGGUUGGGCACUCUAGAGGGACUGCCGGCGACAAGUCGGAGGAAGGUGGGAUGACGUCAAAUCAUCAUGCCCCUUAUGACCUGGGCUACACACGUGCUACAAUGGGCGGUACAAAGGGCUGCGAACCCGCGAGGGGGAGCGAAUCCCAAAAAGCCGCUCUCAGUUCGGAUUGCAGGCUGCAACUCGCCUGCAUGAAGCCGGAAUCGCUAGUAAUCGCGGAUCAGCAUGCCGCGGUGAAUACGUUCCCGGGCCUU